GGCAACGUAUAUGGCUAGGUAAACCCCACUUGGAGCAAGACCAGACAGAUAGCGUUUGAGAACUGCUCGUUCGAGCUAUCGGGUAGGUCGCUUGAUUACGUAAGCAAUUACGUAACUAGAUGGAUGGUGAUCCGUUCGCAAGAACGACAGGAUCCGGCUUAUAGGGCGACUCUUCUU
rnacentral:RNase_P_RNA from 1 species